rnacentral:rRNA from 1 species
CACGUAGGGCGCGAGCGUUGUCCGGAAUUAUUGGGCGUAAAGAGCUCGUAGGCGGCCUGUUGCGUCCGCUGUGAAAGCCCCGGGGCUUAACCCCGGGUCGGCAGUGGAUACGGGCAGGCUAGAGGUAGGUAGGGGAGAAUGGAAUUCCCGGUGUAGCGGUGAAAUGCGCAGAUAUCGGGAGGAACACCGGUGGCGAAGGCGGUU